CGCAGUGGCUGCUGUCUUAAUGCUAUUUCAACAGGAGACCUGGGUUUCAGGACAAGAUCCAGGCCAUAGGGGAGACUUGAUGGCUCGGGGAAUUAGUAAUGGGAUUUGGAGCCCUUCAUUUCUAGGUCACUGGUUUGAAUAGAGCCCAGAGGAGAAAUGCUUGCUGUAAAAGGAUGGAGAUAGAGAAGGAAGGACUGUGGAAACUCAAGAACAAUGCACUACAUUGGCAGUUCCUGCAACCUGCUACAGCCGGAGGCCAGUCUCUAUGUGCAGAGACAAACUUGCUCUGGAGCUGUGGUUAAAGAGGGGGAGGAGCUGGAGUGGGGACUAGGUGCCUCCGGAAAGGAUCUGAGGCCUUUCACACAGCUACCUGUCAGUCCCUGGGCCCGGGGCUGCAACCUACACAUGCUUCACUCUGUCUCUCCAACCAACACCCCUUCCCUAGAGGCAGGUGAAGCCCCUUCCCAAUAAAGAAUUACAUUAUGUAUCAUCAAUUAAGAAAUACAAUUAUAUAAAGACCCA
rnacentral:lncRNA from 10 species